UACGUAGGGUGCAAGCGUUAAUCGGAAUACUGGGCGUAAAGCGUGCGCAGGCGGUGAUGUAAGACAGAUGUGAAAUCCCCGGGCUCAACCUGGGAACUGCAUUUGUGACUGCAUCGCUGGAGUACGGCAGAGGGGGAUGGAAUUCCGCGUGUAGCAGUGAAAUGCGUAGAUAUGCGGAGGAACACCGAUGGCGAAGGCAAUCCCCUGGGCCUGUACUGACGCUCAUGCACGAAAGCGUGGGGAGCAAACAGG
rnacentral:rRNA from 1 species